rnacentral:rRNA from 1 species
UACAGAGGGUGCAAGCGUUAAUCGGAAUUACUGGGCGUAAAGCGUGCGUAGACGGUUAUGUAAGUCAGGUGUGAAAGCCCCGGGCUCAACCUGGGAAUGCCAUUUGAGACUGCAUAGCUAGGGUACGGAAGAGGCGAGUGGAAUUCCCGGUGUAGCGGUGAAAUGCGCAGAUAUCGGGAGGAACACCUAUGGCGAAGGCAGCUCGCUGGGACGUUACUGACGCUGAGACGCGAAAGCGUGGGGAGCAAACAGG